GUAAAAUGAAUAGGUCGUCUUUGUGUCAUCCUGAUGUCGAAACCACGUUAAUGGCGGAGAAAGGAUCUCUGUAAGGAUUCGAAGGGUAGCGGGGGGUGAUAUCCAAAACUGUUUUGAAGAAAGUGUCGAAGAAAUAGACCCAUCGUGAAUAUAAUCGAGCCGUCCAGCUCCAUUUUACUAACCAGCCGCAGGAAAUAGAUAAUCAGAACAAGGAUUUGGGUAGGAACGUGAUUGAAAGUGGACUAGCCGGAUUUUCGGGCAUCCCUUGUCGAAGGUGUACAAAAGCAUUCCAGACAAACUGAAGAGAAUCCUACGUGGCUUGCGCUUAUUUGGAAUGUCGCCCGUGGAGCCUCAGUGGGCGGUUGGAAUUUCGCUGCGCUGCGCCUGGCGACAGAGGGGGAAUGAAGAGGCAUGUCACUGACUGGUACUCGUUGAUGUCGUUCUUCUGCCACAGGGUGGUGGUCUUUGUUUCAUAAUUAAAGCGACAUGACAGUUUUAGUUAUCAGGCUUGGAUGCUGCUUGCACACAACACACUUGACCGUGAGGUUUAAACUUUUAAGCAUUGGAGACAGCCUAAGACUGCUCUGUGGCCAUCCGAAUUCACCAUGAAUAUUCUGUUAGCCGUCAUUUUCAUGUCUACAUAUUCUUCUGCAAGUGGAGGAACGUUUUCUGAGACAUCCACUUACAUGACCAAGAUAGAGAUGGGUGGAGAACACCAAGAAGAUGGUCGCCCUGGUGAUGGGGCAGGAUGCAUCUCUGAAACGUCGGUACGCUUCUGCCAGACGGCCCAACAACCAAGAAGUCUCGCCCCCACAAGAACCUCAAAUCUCUUAAAGGAAGGUUUCUUCAAUUAAAACCUCAGCAUGGAAAGGCGGGCGCAAACAUGAAAUGUUGGAUUUUCCCUGAGUGGUGGAAUGCAGUUGUUCUGACACAAGCGGGUCUCAUGGAAAGGAC